UAGUUCCGAGUGUUCUUCAUAUGAGAUUGGAACUUCUCGAAGAUCUCCAGUUCCGACCAAACAGCACCAUAUCGACCUCCAUGCAUGCGGCCAAAACGAAUACUAGUUCCUAAUCGAUCGGCGGAGAUUCCAUUGUCGAAGCUGUGAGCCCCUGACCCCAAACUGUUCCACAUUCUCAGGAAGUGCCAGUGCUUUGGAUUGUUUCGCAACAGUUCCAGUGAGCUGAUUGAUUUUGCAACAGAAAGGUCUUGACGAUGUUGUUCCGACAUGCAUGCUACCUACCGUCUUGGUCUCAGUUUUGGUGUUCCCGAUCAUCAAUUUGGAAGUGGCCGUGAUGGCAUCAAGAAGAACAGAUCCAGUUAAUUCGAAAAGGAAAUGGAACGUGAGUGCGAAAGGGGUGCGGGUACGGGUGCAGUAAUUCCUGUUUGUACCAAAAAAAUGUUUUGCUACUAUUCGAUGCUGCUGCUGAAGAAACCUCCGGAUUGCUAGGAUUGAUCACCAGUUCCGCAUUGACAUGCCGUCAAACUUCCACAUCGGCAUUGCGUUUAUGUUAUCAGCUAACUUAUGUUUCGGUGUUCCGUUCGUUCUAUCGAGGUUCCACCAUACUGAUACGACGCUGCUACUAAGGGAUGUCCUGUCCUGGGAUCUGGUCCUGCGGUUCCUGCUGAUGAUUAUACAGUAGCAGCCAAGCAUCCGGCAACAUAAAGGUUCAAAAAUAAUCAUACCUUAUAUAUGUACUAUAUAAUGAGUCAUAAAUUCAGAUAAAUAAAAUAUUUUACUUUAUAUUCAU